rnacentral:lncRNA from 1 species
UUCUCUUCUCUCUAUGAAGAACUAAACCUAUUAUUCUAGUUGAAGGUUAAUAAAGUUUUGAUUCAUCAUUACUGUGAGAUCUUUCUUAUGCUUUAAUUGUUUUAUUGAUUUUUGGAUAUUUGUUUAUUCUCUAAAUUAUUGUCAUGAUUAUGUUUGUUAAUUAGAUAAUUGGCCACUAUUUAAUUAUCAACUUAAUCUAUUGUCAAUUAAAAGAUUCAUCGUAUGAAGAUUUUAAUGUUUGUGACAAAUAGCAUAGCAGUGCGUUGUGUUAUGAGAAUAAACAAUCUAAUUUAAAUGAACCAUCGUAUGCGUUUGUUGAUUAGGAUUUGGGUCUCUCUGGUUUUUCAGGCUGUCAAUUGGUUAAAUCCUAUGAUCGUAU